rnacentral:lncRNA from 10 species
GAGAUUCCCCAAAGACAGUGUUCAUUCACUAAAUACUUACUGAGUAAAUACUAUAUUCUAGACACUUUUCUAAGCACUUGGGUAUAUAGCAGAAAGCCAGGAUGCUAAAUUAGCAAGGCCGGGCACUAAAUCUCUUUUCUCUUCCCUCCCUACCUCUUCCUCCAUGAGAGAGAGAGAAAGGGAACUCCAGAUCCAGGCUGGACCCUGGAUGAAAGACAGCCACUUAAUUCUCUGAACCACGUCAGCUGAGACUCAGAAGGAUAGUCACCUUGGAAAUCACACUAUCAGAGCCACCAGGCGGAAAUAAGUGACCCAGAGAAAAACGCUAUGAAGUAGUGAAGGAGUUGCAGGAGGCGGCAGCGAGGGUCCUUGGGAGUCACUCAGAGGCAUGUGGAAGAUUCACGCGGGUUAAAGCUGAGCUGAUUAUGGAAUGAAAACUCACUGUGUCCUCUCUCCUCUCUCCUGGUCUGCAGCAUUACUUAGGAAUAAUGUGGCCUCAACUUCCUUCUCUUUCUUUAUUAUUUUUUUCUUUUUUGAGAUGGAGUUUCGCUCUUGUUGCCCAGGCUGGAGUGCAAUGGCACGAUCUCGGCUCACCGCAACCUCCGCCUCCUGGGUUUAAGCAAUUCUCCUGCCUCAGCCUCCCGAGUAGCUGGGAUUACAGGCAUGUGCCACCACGCCUGGCUAAUUUUGUAUUUUUAGUAGAGAUGGGGUUUCUCCAUGUUGGUCAGGCUGGUCUCGAACUCCC